rnacentral:rRNA from 1 species
AUUCACGCUGGCGGCAUGCUUUACACAUGCAAGUCGAACGGCAGCGGGGAGGAGCUUGCUUCUCUGCCGGCGAGUGGCGAACGGGUGAGUAAUACAUCGGAACGUGUCGAGAAGAGGGGGAUAACCACCCGAAAGGGUGGCUAAUACCGCAUAAAUUCUGAGGAAGAAAGCUGGGGACCUGGGAAUAGGCCUAGCGCUUUUUGAGCGGCCGAUGUCGGAUUAGCUAGUUGGUGAGGUAAAGGCUCACCAAGGCGAAGAUCUGUAGCGGGUCUGAGAGGAUGAUCCGCCACACUGGGACUGAGACACGGCCCAGACUCCUACGGGAGGCAGCAGUGGGGAAUUUUGGACAAUGGGGGCAACCCUGAUCCAGCCAUGCCGCGUGUAUGAAGAAGGCCUUAGGGUUGUAAAGUACUUUUGUUAGGGAAGAAAAGUCAGCUGUGAAUAAUGGCUGAUACUGACGGUACCUAAAGAAUAAGCACCGGCUAACUACGUG